UCCCUGGAGGACUAGUGGUUAAGCCACAGCGCUCUCACCACUGUGGCCUGGAUUCAAUUCCCAGCCGCAGCC
rnacentral:tRNA from 1 species